rnacentral:tRNA from 1 species
GCCGCUGUAGCUCAGUUGGUAGAGCGGCGCUUUCGUAAAGCGUAGGUCACCGGUUCAAACCCGGUCAGCGGCUCCA